rnacentral:lncRNA from 1 species
AUGGGACUGGAGGACGAGCAAAAGAUGCUUACCGAAUCCGGAGAUCCUGAGGAGGAGGAAGAGGAAGAGGAGGAAUUAGUGGAUCCCCUAACAACAGUGAGAGAGCAAUGCGAGCAGUUGGAGAAAUGUGUAAAGGCCCGGGAGCGGCUAGAGCUCUAUGAUGAGCAUGUAUCCUCUCGAUCACAUACAGAAGAGGAUUGCACGGAGGAGCUCUUUGACUUCUUGCAUGCAAAGGACCAUUGCGUGGCCCACAAACUCUUUAACAACUUGAAAUAA